rnacentral:lncRNA from 1 species
CGUGUGUGUGUGUUCGUAUGUAUGCAGACAGAAAAAAUUCUUCAAGAUGGUGAGCUGGUUACCAGACCAAAUAAUCAAGCAUAGACACAAAACACAAGGAAACAAUCAGUUUAAUAUGCAUUUGCCUUAAGUCUUUCUCAGCAUGAUGUUACUCCUUCCACAAUCCAGAGCUCACCUAACCAUCCUCUGCAGCCAAAGGACAGGCUUGUUCCUGAUACUGUGAUCAUGUUUUGCUUAAUCAUAUGGCUUUGAUAUGAAGCAAGAUGUGUCUUCCUUUAGCAAUUUAGUUAGUACAUCCAAAAUGAGGAAGGACACUGAAGAGUAAUGGGUGGCUGCAAGAUAGGUUUUCCUCUCAGAUUUAGGAAAUAUGAUAUGGAUAGGAGCCACGUGUUUCAUAGUAAUACUUAUGUUUAGUCAUAAUUGAAGUUUAUUCUUUAAGGACGUUGUUGUAUUAGGUAUUGUGCACUCAAGGAGAGGGUUAGGAACAUCUGCAAAGGGCAGGGUGAAGGAACUGGCAUUUCACCUGAAGAGGAGUGGAAGAGAAGCAGCAAAGAAGAGUGAACCCAGCAAAUAUUUCAGCUCCAAAUUUCUACUUUCAGUGCAGAGUGUGGGAGCCGUGGGAAAUGUCAGGCAAGGGGCUGUGAUGCCAGAGGUCUGUGUUGCAAUACCUAAGUUUAACAGAUUCCUCCGAGCAGAUGCCGUGAGCUUGAGUUCAUGAGCCUUUGCUCUGCGUGGGGAAUGGCUGGCAGCUGAAAGGAUGUGCACUUUUUGCUGAAAUAGGCCUGAGCCUUUACAUUUUUUACACAUGAACUUAGUUUUAAGGCUCACCCUAGGCGUAUAAAACAAACGCUUUUUUUAAAGCACGUAAAUCAAGUUGGAUGUCAACUGGAAUUUCCCAGGAGAAUAUUCAUAUUCAGUGACUGAAAGGAUUUAUUCUCUGUUUACAUUUAUGAGAUUUGGCAACAGUUAAUGGAAGUAGAAAAGUCAGCUAUCUUCUUUUAUAGCAGGUGCCUUGUGAAGUUCCUCAUUGCUCCAGAUUUCAGAGGCAGACGCUGCUUCAUGUACCCAGGACCUGUUUCAAAUUCAGCUGCUAAUUCAGGUCAGGAAGCUGAUCCAACUCAUCAUUCGUUGCACAAUGGCUGGAGCUGGCAGGACAGGGAACCGCAGCCAGAAACCGCAAAGCAGGUAACUUCAGUGCAUAACAGAAUGGUAACUCGAAAAGCCUUGAAAUUCACUGUGUUGAGGACAGUUUGGGACUACACAUUUCCCACAGGUAUGUUUUAGUUAAGACUAAAUACCACCAGAAGUUACGGUUCAGGAUCAAGAUCUUUUUUGAAAUCAAGAAACAAGAAAAGCUUGCUGUCAGCAACUGUGAGCACAGUUUAAAAUGUUUUCCAUCAUUACAACACUGCCCUCC